AUCGCUUCUCAGCCUUUUGGCUAAGAUUAAGUGCAUAUCUGUUCUUAUCAUUUUAAUAUCUGAUACAUCCUCUAUCCUAGGACAUUAUAUUAAAUGUAUUUUUGGAGCAGGGAGAGAGAAUAGGAGCUUGCUCUGUUCACUCCACAUAUCAACCCGGUAUCGCAGUACCUCCAGGAAUGGUGCACAAAAA
rnacentral:snRNA from 1 species